rnacentral:lncRNA from 1 species
UCUUGUCUCUGAUAUUCUUAUCCAGGGGCUGCGGGAGGGCUGGACCCCACCUAUGAAGUCAUCCUCUGGGCCAGAGCGAAUGGCUCGGGAAUGGACCCAUAACCUAACUCAGGCCACUGAGAUUUUAAAACAAUCCUCUUCAACCGAACAAACAUGGAAGUUGACUUGAAGAAGAAUAUUAGAUCCAGCCUGACGUUUUUUGCAUCAAUAGUUCACUGGAAAGAUCCUUAUUAAUAAAAACUAUUUUGAAGGGAAAGGAAGGGAGAAG